UGAGGAAUAUUGGUCAAUGGACGCAAGUCUGAACCAGCCAUGCCGCGUGAAGGAUGAAGGCCUUCUGGGUUGUAAACUUCUUUUAUUGGGGAAGAAAAUUACGGUUUCUACUGUAACCGACGGUACCCAAGGAAUAAGCACCGGCUAACUCCGUGCCAGCAGCCGCGGUAAUACGGAGGGUGCAAGCGUUAUCCGGAUUCACUGGGUUUAAAGGGUGUGUAGGCGGGCAUUUAAGUCAGUGGUGAAAUCUCCGAGCUCAACUCGGAAACUGCCAUUGAUACUAUUUGUCUUGAAUAUCGUUGAGGUUGGCGGAAUAUAUCAUGUAGCGGUGAAAUGCUUAGAUAUGAUAUAGAACACCGAUUGCGAAGGCAGCUAACUAAGCGAUGAUUGACGCUGAGGCACGAAAGCGUGGGGAUCAAACAGG
rnacentral:rRNA from 1 species